UACGUAGGUGACAAGCGUUGUCCGGAUUUACUGGGCGUAAAGAGCGCGCAGGCGGUCGUUCAAGUCGAGUGUGAAAGCUCCCGGCUCAACCGGGAGAGGACAUUGGAGACUGCCAAGCUCGAGGCAGAUAGAGGGAUGUAGAAUUCCGGGUGUAGUGGUGAAAUGCGUAGAGAUCCGGAGGAAUACCAGAGGCGAAGGCGGCAUCCUGGGUCUGACCUGACGCUGAGACGCGACAGCAUGGGGAGCGAACGGG
rnacentral:rRNA from 1 species